rnacentral:rRNA from 1 species
UACGAAGGGGGCUAGCGUUGCUCGGAUUGACUGGGCGUAAAGGGCGCGUAGGCGGUUCGUACAGUCAGACGUGAAAUCCCUCGGCUUAACCGGGGAACUGCGUCUGAUACUGGAUGGCUUGAGAUUGGGAGAGGGAUGCGGAAUUCCAGGUGUAGCGGUGAAAUGCGUAGAUAUCUGGAGGAACACCGGUGGCGAAGGCGGCAUCCUGGACCAACACUGACGCUGAGUGAGCGAAAGCCAGGGGAGCAAACGGG